UACGUAGGGGGCAAGCGUUAUCCGGAUUUACUGGGUGUAAAGGGAGCGUAGACGGUGUGGCAAGUAUGAUGUGAAAGGCAUGGGCUCAACCUGUGGACUGCAUUGGAAACUGUCAUACUUGAGUGCCGGAGGGGUAAGCGGAAUUCCUAGUGUAGCGGUGAAAUGCGUAGAUAUUAGGAGGAACACCAGUGGCGAAGGCGGCUUACUGGACGGUAACUGACGUUGAGGCUCGAAAGCGUGGGGAGCAAACAGG
rnacentral:rRNA from 1 species